UCCAAAUGAAGCGUGUUUUCAUUGCCAUAUUAUUAAUUGGCAUUUUAUGCCAUCAAGUUUUCAGCGCCGAAUUUGAAAUUUAAAUUUGAUUUUGAUAUCUGAACAAAAUAAGGAUUUGAGUGAAGAAUUGAUGCUUAAAGUAAUCGCCAAAGUGAACAAAGCUAUUGAUGAAACGACUUCGUUUGCUGACAUUCCUGUUGUAUUAAAAAAGGUCAAAGAUGAGGCAUUAACAACGUAUGACGAGCAAAAAAAGGGGCGAAUGGUCAUUAGUUGACAACGACAUACGUGAAGAGGUCAACAAAGCUUUGAAUCGCUUAAACAGCACAUACCACAAAACGUUGGUGCACUAUAAUAAUGCGCUGAAUUUUUAUAAAUCCUACAUAACAAUAUUUCGGAUAACACUUUUUCCGCAUAUGAGGCAACCAAGAGUAGAACACUUGCGCAGGUUUGAUUUGUACAUAAUCACACUGAUUCUAAUCGUAUAUGUUUCUCGUGAAUAGUUUUUACAUAAAUCAAAUAGCGGAAACAUUUCCGACAAUGAGCUUGUACGUUCAUUUGUUCAAAAACUCGAAAAAUACAUAGACAGCUAUUUUUGGGCAAACAUUUCUCUCACGACAAUAGAAGCUAAUGUAAUAAAAUCAAAUGAUACAUCAACUUCAACCGAAAGUAUAUCAACUGUGGGAACUAAUACAGCAAAGCAAAAAGGAAAUACAACAAACUGAUAUGCGUCCUUAUCUUGACGAUAAGUAACACUAAUUUCGAAAGACAAAAAUAAACAUCCGCAACAAUAAUUUGACUAA